GAUGAACGCUGGCGGCGUGCCUAAUACAUGCAAGUCGAGCGAACGGACGAGAAGCUUGCUUCUCUGAUGUUAGCGGCGGACGGGUGAGUAACACGUGGAUAACCUACCUAUAAGACUGGGAUAACUUCGGGAAACCGGAGCUAAUACCGGAUAAUAUUUUGAACCGCAUGGUUCAAAAGUGAAAGACGGUCUUGCUGUCACUUAUAGGUGGAUCCGCGCUGCAUUAGCUAGUUGGUAAGGUAACGGCUUACCAAGGCAACGAUGCAUAGCCGACCUGAGAGGGUGAUCGGCCACACUGGAACUGAGACACGGUCCAGACUCCUACGGGAGGCAGCAGUAGGGAAUCUUCCGCAAUGGGCGAAAGCCUGACGGAGCAACGCCGCGUGAGUGAUGAAGGUCUUCGGAUCGUAAAACUCUGUUAUUAGGGAAGAACAUAUGUGUAAGUAACUGUGCACAUCUUGACGGUACCUAAUCAGAAAGCCACGGCUAACUGCGUG
rnacentral:rRNA from 1 species